UACGUAGGGUGCAAGCGUUGUCCGGAAUUAUUGGGCGUAAAGAGCUCGUAGGCGGUCUGUCACGUCGGACGUGAAAAUCCAGGGCUCAACCCUGGACCUGCGUUCGAUACGGGCAGACUAGAGUUCGGUAGGGGAGACUGGAAUUCUUGGUGUAGCGGUGAAAUGCGUAGAUAUCAAGAGGAACACCUGAGGUGAAGACGGGUUGCUGGGCCAACACUGACGCUGAGGCGCGAAAGCCAGGGGAGCAAACGGG
rnacentral:rRNA from 1 species